GAUGAAGAACGCAGCGAAAUGCGAUAAGUAAUGUGAAUUGCAGAAUUCCGUGAAUCAUCGAAUCUUUGAACGCACAUUGCGCCCCCUGGUAUUCCGGGGGGCAUGCCUGUCCGAGCGUCAUUGCAACCUUCAAGCGCGGCUUGUGUGUUGGGUCUCGUCCCCCGUGGACGGGCCCGAAAGGCAGUGGCGGCGUCCCGACAUGGUGCCCGAGCGUAUGGGAAUCCUCUUCCGCUCGAAUCGGCCCAUGCGGCGCUGGUCGUAACCAAAUUUUUUACCGGUUGACCUCGGAUCAGGUAGGGAUACCCGCUGAACUUAAGCAUAUCAAUAAGCGGAA
rnacentral:misc_RNA from 1 species